rnacentral:rRNA from 1 species
UACAGAGGUGGCAAGCGUUGUUCGGAAUUACUGGGCGUAAAGGGCGCGUAGGCGGCACGGCAAGUCAGGAGUGAAAGGCCUGGGCUCAACCUGGGAAUUGCUUUUGAAACUGCCGAGCUAGAGUGCGGAAGGGGCAACUGGAAUUCCCAGUGUAGCGGUGAAAUGCGUAGAUAUUGGGAAGAACACCUGAGGCGAAGGCGGGUUGCUGGGCCGACACUGACGCUGAUGCGCGAAAGCCAGGGGAGCGAACGGG